rnacentral:rRNA from 1 species
CCUACGGGUGGCAGCAGUGGGGAAUAUUGGGCAAUGGGCGCAAGCCUGACCCAGCAACGCCGCGUGAAGGAAGAAGGCUUUCGGGUUGUAAACUUCUUUUAUCAGGGACGAAGCAAGUGACGGUACCUGAUGAAUAGUCCCGGCUAACUACGUGCCAGCCGCCCCGGUAAAUCGUUGGUGGCCAGAGUUAUACGGAUUUACCGGGUGUAAAGGGCGUGUAGGCGGGAGUGCAAGUCAGAUGUGAAAACUAUGGGCUCAACCCAUAGCCUGCAUUUGAAACUGUACUUCUUGAGUGCUGGAGAGGCAAUCGGAAUUCCGGGUGUAGCGGUGAAAUGCGUAGAUAUACGGAGGAACACCAGUGGCGAAGGCGGAUUGCUGGACAGUAACUGACGCUGAGGCGCGAAAGCGUGGGGAGCAAACAGGAUUAGAUACCCGAGUAGUC